rnacentral:rRNA from 1 species
AUACGGAGGGUGCAAGCGUUGUUCGGAAUCACUGGGCGUAAAGCGGGUGUAGGCGGCCUGUCAAGUCAGAUGUGAAAGCCCACGGCUCAACCGUGGAAGUGCAUCUGAAACUGGCAGGCUUGAGUACCGGAGAGGGAAGUGGAAUUCCUGGUGUAGGGGUGAAAUCCGUAGAUAUCAGGAGGAACACCGGUGGCGAAGGCGACUUCCUGGACGGAUACUGACGCUGAGACCCGAAAGCGUGGGGAGCAAACAGGAUUAGAAACCCGAGUAGUCC